rnacentral:rRNA from 1 species
AUUGAACGCUGGCGGCAUGCCUUACACAUGCAAGUCGAACGGCAGCACGGGAGCAAUCCUGGUGGCGAGUGGCGAACGGGUGAGUAAUAUAUCGGAACGUGCCCAGUCGUGGGGGAUAACGUAGCGAAAGCUACGCUAAUACCGCAUACGAGCUAUGGAUGAAAGCGGGGGAUCGCAAGACCUCGCGCGAUUGGAGCGGCCGAAAUCAGAUUAGGUAGUUGGUGAGGUAAAGGCGCACCAAGCCGACGAUCUGUAGGUGGUCUGAGAGGAGGACCGAACACACUGGGACGGAGACACGGCCCAGACCCCUACGGGAGGCAGCAGUGGGGAAUUUUGGACAAUGGGCGCAAUCCUGAUCCAGCAAUGCCGCGUGCAGGAUGAAGGCCUUCGGGUUGUAAACUGCUUUUGUACGGAACGAAACGGCGAGCUCUAAUACAGUUUGCUAAUGACGGUACCGUAAGAAUAAGCACCGGCUAACUACGUGCCAGCCGCCGCCGUAA